rnacentral:rRNA from 1 species
AACGAACGCUGGCGGCGUGCCUAACACAUGCAAGUCGAACGGAGUUAAGAAGCUUGCUUCUUAUUUUAGUGGCGCACGGGUGAGUAACGCGUGGAUAAUCUACCUGAUGCUCUGGGAUAACAUCUCGAAAGGGGUGCUAAUACCGGAUAAGCCCACGAUCUCUUCGGAGAAUGCGGGAAAAGGAGGGGACCUUCGGGCCUUCCGACGUCAGAUGAGUCCGCGUCCCAUUAGCUAGUUGGCGGGGUAAUGGCCCACCAAGGCUACGAUGGGUAGCUGGUCUGAGAGGAUGAGCAGCCACACUGGAACUGAGACACGGUCCAGACUCCUACGGGAGGCAGCAGUGGGGAAUUUUGCGCAAUGGGGGAAACCCUGACGCAGCAACGCCGCGUGAGUGAUGAAGGCUUUCGGGUCGUAAAGCUCUGUCAGAAGGGAAGAAAUGUAGGUGGCUGAUAUCCAUUCUACUUGACGGUACCUUCAAAGGAAGCACCGGCUAACUCCGUGCCAGCCGCCGCCGUAACAC